UGGUAUUGAAAACAAACAGAAAUUUCAUUUGAGAAUAAUUACAAAGCAAUGUCUCCUUCUUUGCUUUGUUUCCUAAAGGUCAGUGUGACCCUGAGACUGAACCAAAUAUAGUCCAGUCCCUAUCCAAGAGGAACGCUCAUCAGAUUUUAUAGAAUUACUUGAAAUGCAACUCAUCACUCUGCGCUGAAUACAGCAACAUUUUGAUAAAACGAAACUAUCAGAAUAAAAGAGAGUUUGGAAUUAGUGAACUUCAAAGAGAACAUAUUACUUUCAAAAUUUGAUCAUUUUGAAAUUAAUGCAACCUAAUGCAAGCAUUAUUGUCUUAAAAUGAUUACUGAGAUAUUUCGUACAUUUAAUGAAGAAAAUUGAGAAAUUUCAUAAAUAAUAAAGCUAGUGUGCUGUGAUUUUGAAGGCACAAAGUUAGAGCGAAUGAUUUGAGUUGCAGCGUUUUAUUAUGUAAAAUUAGUGUCAAUAUCAUUGAUUUGAGUUAUAGCGUUUUAUUAUGUAAAAUAGGAGUCAAUAUCAUUGAUUUGAGUUAUAGGGGUUUACUGUGUAAAACAGGUGUCAAUAUCAUUAUUACUUCACUUUCCAGGAUACUUUAUAAGCUCUUAAUAUAAUUUAGUUUAGUGGAGUGCACAGCAAAACAAGUAGUAUUCUCUGGUACUACAUAACUAAUCUUUGCAACAGCUGUGCAUUUACCACUCUCAGCUGCUCCAGUUACAUUAAUCAUCCUUUUAACAGCCUGACACCUGUCUCUUAUUAUAUUUGAGAACAGUUGUUAAUUUCUUUAAAUUUUCCCAUCCCUCUUAGUGCCUUUGCACUGCUUUAUUUCUCUAAUGCACAUUUAUACGGUCUAUUAUAUUAAUUCUCUCAUUUAAUCUUGAGAACUUAAAAAUUAUUAGGAAGUUAAUUGUUCAGGGAUCAGAGGUUUUUCUCACUUACAGCAUAACUCUGUUAAAUGACACAGUUUGUUCCAGCUUCUUGCUGACACUGCAAGGGAUUGUCUAGAACAAAGAGUUCAAUUACUUUCACAGUGCUAAUCAUAUAUCAUUAUGUAGAGGCAUGGAUCCUUAAUUCCCAAGCCAGCGCCCGAAGCAGCGUGGCAGCAAUAAAGGACACAUUCCAAAUUCCUCUGUCCACUGCAGCAGGCAGGUAAUAACUGAAGAAUAAAAUAAGUGCGUCUCGUUGGCUAUGCUCUUUACUAAUUUGAAUGUUUGAUGCCUACAAUGAAUCAUGUUCCAUUAAUUUUUAUUCACCCACACAAGAUUUUUGUCAGAAUUGAUUUGAGAUGCAUCGUUCCAGGCCAAAUAUAUAUUUACACUUUAUUUUUUUGAGAACUUUUCCUCCAUGAUUUAGGAAACACUUUCUGGUCCUUUGUAACUUUUCAAGGUACAAAUAAAAGUCAGGAAAUAACACUGACUUUUGAGUCUCACAGGUAAAGAAUUCCUCAGCGUUAACAAAGCCUGAGCGCUCCUUCUCCCCACACACUUUUAGACACAGAGGUUAAUGUGUAAUCCAGACCAUUCUCUUGUUCAGCUAUCCCAAGGUCAACAAAGAAACUGAAUCAGAGAGAAGAAUAUUUUGUUUGUUUCAUAGGCAGGGAAAUGGCUUAUGAAAUCUCAGAGCAGGGUGUAACCUCAUUAAGAUAAAUGUAAAAAUAACUCACCAAUCAUAAGUUAUGGAAACAGGAAAUCAACGCCUGUGUUUUACAACAAAGGCACUCUUACAUUUCCGGCAUAAAAAAAGCUUCUGUUACCAUUUUCUUUCCUCUCCUCCCCCCUCUCCUGCUAUCCUCUCUGUUUGGGCAGGAAACUUGGCUGACUCUGCUCAAGUUGUCUGCUGCCCUUUUGUUCUAUCAUCUGCCCAGCCGUGGUGGGAGAAGCCUGAUAAAUUUCCCCCGUCCCCCCGUGAGUAGGAUGAGUAACUUCCAAAUCUGGGAGAGUUACAGUCAAAUUGCCUUUUGGAAGAGAAACAUGGAUAGUGAGCGCAGUCCUUACUGUUAAACGCUUUUUUCUUGCUAAAGCUGCUCAGGAUCUUAUCACCUAUUUUUUUACCUGAUGUUUUGCAGGCUGCACGUAACUAAGAGCAUUAGAGAUGUUCUACGGUUGCAAGCACAUCAUUUUAUUUACAGAAAAUAACUCCAAAAGGAGUUUUGUAUUGUAAUCACUUCAACCAAGUAGCGAGAUUGGCAAGUUAUUUAUGGGAUGCCUGGGGCAGCUCUUCUUCAGGCUGUGGCGACCAGGAUGGUUUCCUAUUAUGUAUCUCUCAUCCUUCUGAUAUGACCACAGCACCACUUGAGCAUCAAGUCUUUGAUUUUGCUACUAGCAAAAUGGUCUGGAUGAUCAUACCUAAAACUGUGUAGCUAAAGCCGAGAUACUGCUGGCAAGGCAAACUAUGGUCAUCCAGGGAUUUUUGCCUUAUUUCAGUCAUUAAGGUCAUACCACAAGAACUUGGUCCCAAAUGUGUACAGAAGGAUAUGUGCUCAAUAUCAGAGAAAUAGAGAACUAGUGUAACUUCUGGAUCUUUGCACAUUUGGUACGCCGAUGUAAGUCUGAGAUGUGCUAACAGACAAUGGUUACUCCAUCAGCCUGGAUUCCAGAGAAAGACAUGGAGCAAAACCUCUGGACAACAUGUACAGGACAUGCAGUGUGUUGAAGUUCAAAGACAAAUAAGACACAGUUGCAGUUCUUGAGAUAUUUGUCAUCUGAUGGAUGAAAGAAACACAAACAAAUGUUUUGAAGUGAAAUAAAAGAGAAUGUAAAGUCAGACCAUUGCCAGACACAAAGGAAUACCUGUGACAGUGCCAACUUGUAAUGCAGCCACUAACACAAAGGGAGAGGUGGGCAUAAGGCAGGGAGUAAAUGGAGGGGUGAAUAGUAAGAACUAAUUAAAUGCUUGUUUACUGGAUCUUGAAAUUAUUGGAGAUUUUUGUCAAAUGUUUAAUUUUCGUAUGUAAUCUAGACUAUUAGUACAAUUUUGCAUAUUACAUUUAGAGAAUAACAUGUUUGUAUAAUAACAUUAAAAUUUUUUCUAAUUUUUCUGUAUAUUAUAUGCACUAAAACCUUGUAAAAUAUAUUAACUCCUCUUCCAAAAAUCAAUAAUCUAUCAUCUUGAAGAAGGCACUUAUUUGCUCAAAGUUACAUGUAGAUAAAAUUCUAUGACCUUUCUUUCCUUGUAGGUGAUAUUUUGAUGAGAGAAGGUACCUAGCAAGAGACCUCCUGUUUAUAGGAAGGAAACUACAGCUUUUAGAUUUCUAAUGCUAGUGGAGGAGAAUUUGACUGAGCUAAACAUGUUGAAAAUUCAGCCUUGACAGCUGGAAAAGAUAAAUGAAAUCCAGUUUUUCUGCCUGAGUCAUUAUUUAAGUUCCUGCUUGGGAUUAGGAUAGGACUUGAAGGCAUCACCUUCUAUAGAUCAUCUGCCUUGCUCCUAGAUGCUUCCAUUUAUACUGGGUAAAUUUGCCCCAGCAGAGAUGAUUUAUAGGGGAUGAUAUUCCUUGUAUACCGUAAAUGUCACUAAAUUAUACCAGGAAGUUAAAAAAGCAAUUAAUUUAGAAAAACAUUAAGUAUAUGAAUAAUUUUAAAAAUCCUAGAAGUUAAUAAUAGUUCAGUUCCAUCUGGAAUGUUACAAAAUCGAAAGCCCUAGGUAUAACUUCUUGAGCAACUGCUCAGAAAUCUGACUUUUAAAAAUUGCCAAAGAGCAAAGAACUGGAAUGGGAAUCAUAUGAUGAUGCAUAUGACAAAAGAAUGAGAAGUUAUGUAAGUUUAUUCCUCUGGAUUGAUAGACUGUCUUAGAGGUUGGAGUCUUGGUUUCCUAUGUAAAGGUAUACAACUCAUUUUUGAUGCCAAAAUACUAAGUGAAUAACUCAAUUAUAAUCUAUCAUCGAAUUAAACAUGAAAAUAGACUUUUUAUUUCAACUUAAUAAAAAUAUUUUAUAUUAAUUGAACACAUACCUACUAUGUGCAAGGCACUGAGUGAAAUAAACACGUAAGGAAUGCACAGGAUCUGCUCUCAAGGAAUUUUAAUCUAGUAGAAGAAAGAAAGCAGACACUCAGGAAAGGAUGGAGCACAUUCCAAAUAGUAAAUUACAGACUUUCAGUGAGUAAUAAAAUCAUGCUAAGGCACUCAGAAAGCAGAGUAUUUCCAGCUUUGUUAGUCAGGAGACUUUUAAUGGAGGUGAUGAAGGCAAUUAUAUUUGAACUGUCUCUUGAAGAAUGAGUAAGAUUUGAAUAGAUGUAAAUGAGUGGGAAACUUUUCCAUGGAAGAGUAUUAGUAAACGUGUAAAUAGGAAAAUACAAUUGAGCUGACUUGGUAGGCUACAGAGGACAAUUCAUGAAAGACAGUUAUGAGAAAAACUGUUAAGGGAGGUUGGGACCCUGUUUGUAAUGGGCAUUGAAACCUGUGCCAGGAAUGUAGACUCUAAUAACCAUUGAUAUCACGAGUCUUUCACAAUAAGCGAGGGAGUUGUAUGAUUGAAGCAGUGCUCUAAUAGUUCUAGAAAGAUUGCAGAGGAGAGCAGUGAAGCAAGAAGGCCAUAAAGAUGCUGUUAAGUGUCCAGGCACCACAUCUCAAGAUAAGGGGACUGGGGGCAAGGGAUUUUUAAUUAGAUCUAUUUGUAUAAAACGAAUAAAAUUUGAAGAGUGAUUAGAUAUUGUUGGUCUUAGGAAAAAUACAAAGAAAAGUAAUGACUCCAUGAAUGAAAAUACACAGGUCUGGAGAGAGAACUGGAAAGGGCAAUACAAAUGGAAAUUCCCACCAUAUUGUUUCUUAUAAGGAAAGAAAUUUUAGAGCUACAUCAUUGCCAAAGGAAAAUAUUUGUAGUCAUCAGUACAGCUAUGAAAGUUGAAGCCAAGAGGGUGGGCAGCCUUCUUAUGGACUCCAUACAAGAUGAGAAGAGUCACAUAGCAAAGGCUAUGAUUAGGGCAUGCCCACAGUUAAUCCCAUAAAGGAUCCAGUGUAGGACAAGGGAAUGAGUUUUCAAAAAAUUAUAAGGACUAAAAGAGAUAGAGUAUUACUGAAUCUAAAAAAGUCUUAACAAGAAAAGUUGGUAGUUAUCUAAGGUACAACAGAAAGAUGGACAAAGGACUGGCAGCCAGCCAUCCUAACGCACGGUUAUGAGGUACCUGUAGGAUUCUAAAGGUGCAGGUUUCAGAAAGUGAAGAAUAAGGAGGAGUACAUGCAUAAUUCAGGCCUGACAGGUUAUCAGUUUUGGGUUCUCUCCAUUCAAUCAUUCACAACAUAUUUGUGGAGCACCUCCAAUGAGCUUUAGGGGUUGGGGAUAGAGCAGUGGACAAAACAAAUUCUUUCUCUCAUGCUUCUUAUAUUCUAACAGGGAGACAAAUGUAUAUCAAGUGGUGAUGAGUUAAAGAAGAAAAAUAGGAAAGAAUGGGGAUAUCUAAGGGAUUCAUAGUCCCCAACUUAAAAGGGGAUGCUUUUUCUUUUUUAUAUUUAUUUUAUUUAUUAUCAU